GCCGUAAGGCAAUUAAAACACACAAAUACCAAAACAUCGCUUCGGGUGCGCUGCGGCGUUGAAGCAUGGGUAUUUGGAGGAACAAC
rnacentral:sRNA from 1 species